GAAGCUGGCUAGACAGUCGCCGCCUAGUAAUAGGGGGAGGAAAGUCCGGGCUGCAUAGAGCGGGAUGACGGUUAACGGCCGUCCGCCGAAAGCCGCAAGGUAUAAGGCGAGGAAUAGGGCCACAGAGACGAGCGUAUUAAGUUACGGUGAAACGCGGUAACCUCCAUUCGCAGCAAGACCAAAUAGGCUGGUAAUGGCGUGGCUCGCGCUGCCAGCGGGUAGGUUGCUUGAGCGCAUGAGUAAUUAUGCGCCUAGAUGAAUGACUGUUACGUGCAGUAAUGCACGACAGAACCCGGCUUAUCGGCCAGCUUCAACC
rnacentral:RNase_P_RNA from 2 species